rnacentral:rRNA from 1 species
GACGUAGGAGGCGAGCGUUAUCCGGAUUUACUGGGCGUAAAGCGCGCGCAGGCGGUUCCGUUAGUCGGACGUGAAAGCUCCUGGCUUAACUGGGAGAGGCCGUUCGAUACUGCGGGACUUGAGGUUGGGAGAGGAGUGUGGAAUUCCCGGUGUAGUGGUGGAAUGCGUAGAGAUCGGGAGGAACACCUGUGGCGAAAGCGGCACUCUGGCCCACACCUGACGCUGAGGUGCGAAAGCGUGGGUAGCAAACAGG